AUUGAACGCUGGCGGCAGGCCUAACACAUGCUAGUCGAACGAGUGGCGGACGGGUGAGUAAUGUCUGGGAAACUGCCUGAUGGAGGGGGAUAACUACUGGCCACGGUCGCUAAUACCGCAUCCCAUCAGAUGUGCCCAGAGGGGCUUUGCUUGUUGGUGGGGUAACGGCUCACCCAGGCGUCUAUCCCUAGCUGGUCUGAGAGGAUGACCAGCCACACUGGAACUGAGACACGGUCCAUACUCCUACGGGAGGCAGCAGUUGGGAAUAUUGCACAAUGGGCGCAAGCCUGAUGCAGCCAUGCCGCGUGUAUGAAGAAGGCCUUCGGGUUGUAAAGUACUUUCAGCGGGGAGGCGUUACCCGCAGAAGAAGCACCGGCUAACUCCGUGCCAGCCGCCGCGGUAAUUC
rnacentral:rRNA from 1 species